UGACAUGUGAUCAGUUUCAUUAAAUCUGUGACAUGUAACCAAUUUUAUUAUAUCUGUGACCUAAUCAGAUGAUAUGAAUUAUAUGUAACUAUUUGUGAUCGAAAUUAUUUUCAGUGUGACUCUAUGUGACCGUUUAAUUUGUGAUUGUAUGUAAUCAAUUUAUUGACCCACAUUAUCUGUGAUUAACCGUGACCAACUCUGUUUUCGGUGUGGCUAACAAUGACCAAAAUUACAUUCAGUGACUGUUUGUGACAAGGUCAAUCUCAUGUCACAAUCAACACAAAAUUCGUCACAAAUACUCACAACAAAUACAAGUUUGGUCACAUGGGGUCACCACAAACAAAUAUGCACUCAUCGCGACCCAUAUCAUAAUUUGCUCCUAUUUCAAAGUAAUAAUUGAGAUAAAAAUGAUGUUUUCUAGCCCCAGAAGACAAGGCUGGAUGAAGGACAAGCCACUACAAUUUUGCCAACCGUAAAUUUGUGACAAUUGCUUAAAAGAAGCAAAAUCUCUCUUUCCUUCUCUUCUACCAGCAAACACACAAUCGAAGUAAUGGAGGACUUUUCAAUUGAGAAGAUUCAAUUAUCUGGCACUACAUUGGCCUUCCUCAUCCACCGUGUCUCUAGUGCCAUCAACGACCUCACCACCACCAUCUCCUCUAUCUCCAUUUAAACCACACCCAACCACCACCACCACCACCAAAAAUUCCACAAACCCGUCGUCGCCACCACCGCACCACCCAAAGAACACCACCACCACCGUCUCUCCUCUCUCCAUUUAAAUCGUACCCAACCACCAUCCCCACCAAAAAAACCCACAAACAAGCCGUCACCACCACCACAGCACACUAUCACCGCCUGCACAAUAACCAUCUCAAAAAUCGCAACAAAACAUGUCGAAAAAUUUACCAAAAAAUCAUACGAUCCGUAAAACCACACAAAAGUCCGUAACACUGCACAAAAAGUCCAAAUCGUCGUCGUGAUCUAAAAUGCCGAAUAAGAGUUUAGUCCAUAUCGCCGCACCUCAACUCCACCGACGGUGUGAUUUUAGAGAGAGAAUAAGAAAUGUAGAGAGAGAGAGAGAGAGAUGAGAGUCGGUAGAGAGAGAAGACAGAAAUGUUGGGAAAGAUAUGAGAGUGAGUAGAGAGAGA
rnacentral:lncRNA from 1 species